CUUGGCGGGCUGAAGACAUACCU
rnacentral:misc_RNA from 1 species